rnacentral:lncRNA from 12 species
GAUUCACCGCCUCCAGGAAGCCUUCCGGGUUCCCCAACGCCCCGAGCACAAGCUCACAUGGCCCACUCGUGAUGCGGGCCUGGCGCUGGGCACUCAAUAGGCGCGAGAAGCGUUUGGGGACAGGCCGGUGCCCGGAACAAGCCGGCGAGGGGUCCCCUCCCCGCGGGGCUCCCACUUUCCCACGCACAUUCCCGUGCGCUCGGCCGGAAGACUUGGCUUGCGGGUGCGGGCGCCAGGACCUGGCGGAGCCAGUUCCGGCGGGGCCCCCCCGAACUCCCAUUCCCAGAAUGCCCCGGUUUAUUUGCAUCGUUCGGUCCCGAAUGACGUCAAGUGAGUGAGGCCGCGCCACGGCCAAUGGGUGGCCGCAGAGUGUUAGGACCUGGCCAUAUAAGGUAAACAAAGCUAGCCGCCCAAUGAGGCCGCAGCGGGGGCGGGCGCUGGGUCCGGGCCGGCGGGGGCGCAUCACGUGGCGGGCGGGGGCGGGACCGGGGAGCAUGGGGCGGGGGGGUGGUCGCGGGCUGUGUUUACAGCUGCGCACGCGACGCUUCCGGGUGACGUCGCGGGUCUGGAGUUCGGGGCCGGGGCGGGCUGGGAGCGGGAUCCUGGGCGGGGAGGCGGGGAGAGGUCUGGUACCGUCCCCCCCCCCCCCCCGUUCCGAACGAACUUGGCCUGGUUCCUCCAGCUCCCUGAGCUCCGGUUUCAUCCGUUGGGCAACUGUUCUUUGGGCCCCCUCUCUUGGCCUGGCCCUGGCCCGGGCGGGGUUACUGCGGAGAGCUCACCGAGAAGGGUGGGUGCCUCGGCCAGCCAGGGCAGAAGUAACCUGUCCACUCAGGAAGUCAGGUUUUGGUGUCUCUUAAGCCACCUGGAAUCAUGCAGGCUCUGCCAUUUUUUGCAAAUGCUGAUAGUGUCAGGAGUUUUCUGGUCUUGUUAGAAAUGGCUCCUCCAGGGGCACCUAGGUGUCUCGGUGGGUGAAGUGUCCACCUUCCGCUCAGGCCAUGAUCCCGCCGUCUUGGAUCCAGCCUGCGUUCGGGCUCCCUGCUCAGCCAGAAGCUGGUUUGCCUUCCAUCUGCGAGUCCCCCUGCUUGUGCACUCGCUGUGUCAAAUAAAAUAUUAAAAAAAAAAAAAAAAAAAGAAUGG